rnacentral:rRNA from 1 species
GACGAACGCUGGCGGCGUGCUUAACACAUGCAAGUCGAACGGAAAGGCCCUGCUUGCAGGGUACUCGAGUGGCGAACGGGUGAGUAACACGUGGGUGAUCUGCCCUGCACUUCGGGAUAAGCCUGGGAAACUGGGUCUAAUACCGGAUAGGAGCCAUUUUUAGUGUGAUGGUUGGAAAGUUUUUUCGGUGUAGGAUGAGCUCGCGGCCUAUCAGCUUGUUGGUGGGGUAAUGGCCUACCAAGGCGGCGACGGGUAGCCGGCCUGAGAGGGUGGACGGCCACAGUGGGACUGAGAUACGGCCCAGACUCCUACGCGAGGAAGAGGUGGGGAAUAUUGCACAAUGGGCGCAAGCCUGAUGCAGCGACGCCGCGUGGGGGAGGACGGCCUUCGGGUUGUAAACUCCUUUCGCUAGGGACGAAGCUUUUUGUGACGGUACCUAGAGAAGAAGCACCGGCUAACUACGUG